rnacentral:SRP_RNA from 1 species
AGAUGGGCUGGGGCGGUGACAUGGUUCGAACCUGGUCAGGUCCGGGAGGAAGCAGCCAUAAGGACCCUCUGACGCGCGCCCCCGCCUUUCUGCG